GUCCGGCCCGGCCCGAGGUUUGUGCAAUCCCGAUAGGAGAGAGGCGAAGUAGAUCGCUUUUCAGCGACACGCCGUCACACACGCCGUCGUACAAAACAAAGGUUCCAGGCAAGUAUGACGACAUAUCAGCCAGGACCGGAACCUCUCCUCCCUGGCAUGAAGCGAGGCCAGACGUUGCAACAGUUCAUGGCGCAAUGGGGAACAUCUGAUGGGAUGAAGACGCAUGAACUCAUCGACCGAGUUAUAAGAUUUCUGAGAAAUAACGUUCCAGUUAGUGUUGCGAAGAUCGUCAAGGGUGGAUCUAUUGGAAGGAACACUUCUUUCUGCUCUCCCUCCGACGUGGACAUCUUCGUCUUCUGUAAUGACUUGAGGUCUGUUCCUGACAUGAAAACACAGACAAGUAGUCUUCUCCACAUAAUCAGAUCUAAGCUGGACUCUCCACAGUGGCUACCAUCAGCUGGGGCUAUAGGAACCGUGGAAUGCACAGAUCACUCAAUCUCGUUUCUUCUGACAUGCUACGACUUGGAACAACAACUCAUGAUACAAAUAUUCCCUGUGUAUGACAUCCUCAAAUACAAAAACGAGCACGAUGUGUACAUAGACAUGGGAGAACACUCUGAUGCUGUCAAAAAAUGCUACUCAUUGUGUCUGGCAGAGAUACAGAUCGAAUUCAUCAAACGGGCACCGAGCAAAGUACACUCCCUCAUGAAACUCAUGAAAUACUGGCUGAAGGAGGAUGUGCAGAUUGACACGGGCAGUUACUUCAUAGAGACCAUGGUCAUGCACAGAUGGCAGCGGGCAGGAAAACCGAAUGAUUUUAACAUAUCUGACUGGUUUGAAGAGAUUAUGACACAGUUGGCGGACCUCUCGUCACUUAGUAUUAUAUGGGAAGAUAGAUACACAGCAAGCAACUACAGGAUCGUCCCAACCAAACCGGUUGUGUUGGACCCUGCAAACCCCCACGAAAACGUCAUCCCCGAUCGACGAAGCUGUGCAGAGAUUAUGGAGUGUGCCAGAAUUGUGGUCAGUCGGAGCCAACAACUGAAGAACUACCUAAAAGAAGGCCCUGCUCCAAUCAUUGAAGGGAUGGGUAGAGGGGAAUCCCUACAACACUUUAUCCAGGACAAAGUACAGCCUAGCAGUGACUUCCGCCGGAAGUGCGACCACCUGGUAGAUCGCGUGACGUACUUCCUGCAACAUCACGCGCAUCUCAGCGUCAACAUGGUUGUCAGAGGAGGUUCACUUGGAAAAAGCACCAAUGUUUUUGGAAAGUCGGACGUCGAUCUUGUGGUGUUUGUAAACAACAUCAAGUCUGUCGAAGACCUUUCAAUGAAAAUGCCAGUCCUGCUGAAUAUUUUGGAAGAAGCCUUGAACUCCAAGUGGACGGACUUUGCAGGAUGUUUGGAGCAGGGAAACCGCUCGGACCGGGGACUGCAGUACAACCUCAGUUGCGGAGAAAGCGACCAUUUCCAUGACGUGGACAUCUUGCCUUCCUUCAACAUUCUCCGAGUAAAAACUCCAGAUGAGGUGUUCACAGAAAUGAAAUCAAAGACGGACAAUGAGAGGAGGCUGUACGCGCCAUGUUUUUCUCAGAAACAGGUGGACUUCGUUAAGCAAGCUCCUAUCAAAGUGAAGAAUCUGAUACGGCUUGUGAAAUACUGGGCAAAGUUGUCAUCUCCCAUUGGAAGAAGAACGGCUCCCCAUUCGACUUCGUCACCCAGGAUUGGUUCCGGGAGGUCAUGACCAAGCUGACCGAUCUGACGUCACUGCGGAUACUGUGGCCCGACCAAUACGACGCAGCUUUGUACUAUGUAUUUCCGUACGAUCAUCUGCGAUAUAAGACGGAUGAAUAUAAGAUGGAGGAAAAAUCCUAGCAUCUCUGGCAGUUUCUGUGCAUGAGAAGGA
rnacentral:misc_RNA from 1 species